AUCACCUGGGAAUCUUAUGAUAAUGCAGAUUCUGAUUCAGUAAAUUGGAAUAGAGCCUGUGAUUCUGCAUUUCUAACAAGCUCCCAGGUGAUGC
rnacentral:miRNA from 1 species